rnacentral:lncRNA from 1 species
UAAGUAAACGCAGGAACGUUAACCAGAAGAUAAAUAUCAGGUUUGCUACCAUGCACUAGGAAAAAGACAGUAGCUGCCUUGGCCUCUACAGAUGUCGGCAACAUAUUUUCCUAAACAUGCAUAACAGGUGGAAAUCAUUCCUCCGGACACCGUGCGUUGAUUGUUCCAGAUACAGGGAUAUUGCACAGAAAUGCCUCUGAUGAAAUUUCACGCUCCUUUGAAGACACUGGAAUAUUGCAAGUUAAUAAAGUCAUCAAGUCUGUAAA